rnacentral:misc_RNA from 1 species
ACUGCAGUCAUGUGGUUCUUCUAUGGUUUUCUAAAGAAAGACCUUUAUGUUGCCGUUCCAAAUAUAUUGGGCUUUCUCUUCGGCCUUGCCCAGAUGAUGCUUUAUUUUAUCUACAGGAAGCCCAAGAAAUUACCAGUGCAGGAGCCAAAACUUCGCGAAUUGUCUGGACACAUCGUUGACGNNNNNNNNNNGCUAGGUGCAACCCUCUGCUACGAUAUAAACACAGUUGUGGUUCCACUACCAAAAGAUGAUGUAAAUAAUGUUGAAGAUCAAAAAGUUAAGGAAGAGGCGGAGAAAACCAAGCAGGAUUCAGAUGUGGCUGACAAAGUUUAACCUCGAAAUGGACAUGUUCUUUUUCUUCGGAUAUUAUUCAGUGCGCCUGCCCCUCUGCACAUGCAACUCACUCACAUUUAUGUGGGUCCACUCUUCUUCAUUUGUAAAGGGCACACAUAUUUAUGAGUGAAAGAGCAUUACACCACCCGAUGUAUAAAAUAAUUUGCCCUUUUCUUUUACAUGUAACGGUUUGAGUGGUCGUGCCAUGUCCAGUGUAAAGCUACAAGCA